rnacentral:rRNA from 1 species
UACGUAGGGUGCGAGCGUUAAUCGGAAUUACUGGGCGUAAAGCGUGCGCAGGCGGUUAUGUAAGACAGUUGUGAAAUCCCCGGGCUCAACCUGGGAAUUGCAUCUGUGACUGCAUAGCUAGAGUACGGUAGAGGGGGAUGGAAUUCCGCGUGUAGCAGUGAAAUGCGUAGAUAUGCGGAGGAACACCGAUGGCGAAGGCAAUCCCCCUGGACCUGUACUGACGCUCAUGCACGAAAGGCGUGGGGAGCAAACAGG